UACGGAGGGUCCGAGCGUUAUCCGGAUUUAUUGGGUUUAAAGGGUGCGUAGGCGGCCUUGUAAGUCAGGGGUGAAAGACGGUAGCUUAACUAUCGCAGUGCCUUUGAUACUGCAGGGCUUGAAUGUACUUGAGGUAGGCGGAAUGUGACAAGUAGCGGUGAAAUGCAUAGAUAUGUCACAGAACACCAAUUGCGAAGGCAGCUUACUAAAGUAUGAUUGACGCUGAGGCACGAAAGCGUGGGGAUCAAACAGG
rnacentral:rRNA from 1 species